ensembl:lncRNA
GUUCUCACUUUAUUGUGAAAUACUGUACAUCUUUUUAUUUACUUUAAUAUUUAUUCAUAGUGUGUUUGUGUGUAUGUAUAUAUAUAUAUAUAUAUAUAUUAAAUAGAUAGAGCGAGCGAGUAACGGUAGCGUGUCUGACUCCAGAUCAGAAGGUUGCGUGUUCAAGCCGAUGAACAAGUAUGCCUUGCACCAUGAUGCGCUAUAGGCUUCGAGCUGGGACCUCGUGGCGCAACGGAAGUGCGUCUGACUCCAGAUCAGAAGGUUCAAAUCACGUCGGGGUCAUUCAAUGUGCUCUUUUUCACACAGACCCAUGAUAGUCUAAUAAGGAUGCUGUUAUAUGGACUCCAAUCUCUAUGAUGACCACCCAUGUCUUUGUCAACGUCAUGCUAAAAGGUAACAAAGCUUAGAUAGCAACACUCUCACCUAGUAACCAUUAGUAACUUGACAACCUGCUGAAUGUUUCCUUAGUUUGCCCAUUUUGCUUGUUGAACAAAACAUGCUUGAAAGAGGCACCUUAGAUGGAUUCAC